CAGCGCCACGAGUGGGAACCACGAUUAUUGGGCCUAAAGCGUCCGUAGCUGGUUUGGUAAGUCUUUUGUGAAAUCGUUGCGCUUAACGUAACGACGUGCAAAAGAGACUGUCAGACUUGGAACCGGGAGGAGUCAGAGGUAUUCCAUGGGGAGCGGUAAAAUGCUAUAAUCCAUGGAGGACCACCUGUGGCGAAGGCGUCUGACCAGAACGGAUUCGACAGUGAGGGACGAAAGCUGAGGGAGCAAUCCGGAUUAGAGACCCGAGUAGUCC
rnacentral:rRNA from 1 species